UACAGAGGGUGCAAGCGUUAAUCGGAAUUACUGGGCGUAAAGCGUGCGUAGACGGUUGCGUAAGUCAGAUGUGAAAGCCCCGGGCUCAACCUGGGAAUUGCAUUUGAGACUGCGUAGCUAGGGUGCGGAAGAGGGGAGCGGAAUUUCCGGUGUAGCGGUGAAAUGCGUAGAGAUGUGGAGGAACACCGAUGGCGAAGGCAGCCUCCUGGGCCAAUACUGACGCUGAGGAGCGAAAGCGUGGGGAGCAAACAGG
rnacentral:rRNA from 1 species